rnacentral:rRNA from 1 species
GCAGGAUGAAGGCCUUCGGGUUGUAAACUGCUUUUGUACGGAACGAAACGGUGCUUUUUAAUACAGGGCGCUCAUGACGGUACCGUAAGAAUAAGCACCGGCUAACUACGUGCCAGCAGCCGCGGUAAUACGUAGGGUGCAAGCGUUAAUCGGAAUUACUGGGCGUAAAGCGUGCGCAGGCGGUGAUGUAAGACAGAUGUGAAAUYCCCGGGCUCAACCUGGGAACUGCAUUUGUGACUGCAUCGCUGGAGUGCGGCAGAGGGGGAUGGAAUUCCGCGUGUAGCAGUGAAAUGCGUAGAUAUGCGGAGGAACACCGAUGGCGAAGGCAAUCCCCUGGGCCUGCACUGACGCUCAUGCACGAAAGCGUGGGGAGCAAACAGGAUUAGAUACCCUGGUAGUCCACGCCCUAAACGAUGUCAACUGGUUGUUGGGUCUUCACUGACUCAGUAACGAAGCUAACGCGUGAAGUUGACCGCCUGGGGAGUACGGCCGC